rnacentral:tRNA from 4 species
GGUAAAAUGACUGAUUAUAGGUGAUAAACUGUAAAUUUAUUUAUGAGAAUUAUUUUCUCUUUUACCA